rnacentral:rRNA from 1 species
AAAAGCAUACCGAUGUCUGGUGGCAAUAGCGGAGAGGCCACACCUGUUCCCAUGCCGAACACAGCAGUUAAGCUCUCCAGCGCCCAUGGUAGUUGGGGCUUUGCCCCUGCGAGAGUAGGACGCCGCCAGGC